rnacentral:lncRNA from 1 species
AAAUUUCUUUGAACUAAUAAAUAAAUUACAAAGAACAACACAUUUUCAAUCCAUAAACACUGAGGUUGGAUCCAAGAUGAUCAUGGUUAACAAAUUACAAUUAUCAAAACAAAACUAGUUUUUUUUCCAGUUUAUCUGUAAUAUAUCACAUGUCUUACUUUCUGAUAUAUAUUCAACUUCAAAUAUUAUGAACUUUUCCUGUUUUUGAUUUUCCUCAUUAAUGUGCAUGUUUAAGCAUAUUUGACAUUUAAGGAAUGACUGUAAUAUUUUUUUCUGUCUAUUCGAAAUAACAUAAAAAAAUGUGGUGCACACUGAAUAACGCGCGUAGCGGGUUAUUUAACAGUGUGCACCACAUUUUUUAUGUUAUUUCGAAUAGACAGAAAAAAUAUUACAGUCAUUUCUUAUAAUUUAAUUCUAAAUUCCAUUUUAACCAUAGAAAACCAUGAAAAAACGUUGAUGACGUCACGGUCACAUGACUAAAUUAUGUCUAUGGGCUCAUAACAAAAUAACAUCAGCCAAUCAGAAGACGCAUUACAUCCAAAAUUAAAUUAUUUAAAAAUAAAUUUCAUAGGACUAAAACAUAGAUAUUAAAGUAUGAAUAACCAAAAACUCUAAAAAUUGAAAUUAGAAAUGUCACAAAAAGUAGGACACACACACUAUUAGCAUACAAAACACACAGUAUCAUAAUAGUUUUGACAUUUGUCAAGAGAAAUAAAGCCUGAAUCAAAAUGUCAUAUCAAUUAAUGUUCAUAUACUGAGGCUAUUUUCCAAGAUAACUAAUAAUUAUAGAAAAUUAAGAUUUAAGUAUAUAUUUUUUUAGUUGACAGGGCAAAUAACUGUUCACUUGCACUCAAUUUCUCCAUUUGCUAAACAAUACAGUAUCGUUCAUUUGUACAAACAAAAUUAACAAAAUGUCAGGAUGUCUGAGAUGUAUGCGCAAUUUUCAAUGAAAAUAUAUAUAAGAUCAUAAACAUGAAAACUAAGUAAGAAGUUAAUCUAUAUAUUAUCAAACAAAGGACCUCGACUGUAUACUAUAACUUCAAACUCACUCUGGUAUAUGACUAUGGUAUAAAUUAUAGUUUGACCUUUACAACAAUGACAACUGAAUUCAAUCAUGAACAUGGACUUGACCUAAGCCUUUAGAGAAUUACACAAAAAUAAAAAUAAAAAAACAUUUAAUUUAUUAUUCAAUCCUUAUAUAUUUUUUAUCAUUCAAUCUUAUCUAACUUGAAAACAAGUUCAGGGACCCCUCUUUUUUAAAAUGUCAUUUGAUUUGAUUACGUAAGAAGAUUAUGUGUGCCAAUUUUCAUGAAAACGCAAAUAGUGCAAUUGCUUUUAAUUUGAUAAAUAUACAGCAAAAAUUAUGUUUUUUUCUCCAUUCGUGAACAUUUGAUAUAUGAGAGUUAUUUGAAAAACAAAUUGCACAAAUUUAAAAGACAUUUUAAUAAA